UACGGAGGGUGCAAGCAUUAAUCGGAUUUAUUGGGCGUAAAGGGCGCGUAGGCGGGGAUGUAAGUCAGACGUGAAAUCCCGGGGCUCAACCUCGGAACAGCAUUUGAAACUACAUUUCUAGAGGAUAGGCGGGGAAAACGGAAUUCCACAAGUAGCGGUGAAAUGCGUAGAUAUGUGGAAGAACACCAGUGGCGAAGGCGGUUUUCUAGCUUAGACCUGACGCUGAUGCGCGAAAGCAAGGGGAUCAAACAGG
rnacentral:rRNA from 1 species